rnacentral:rRNA from 1 species
AACGUAGGACACAAGCGUUAUCCGGAGUUACUGGGCGUAAAGGGCGUGUAGGCGGAUCGGUAAGUCUGCUCUGAAAGCUCCUGGCUAAACUGGGAGAGGCGAGCGGAGACUGUCGGUCUAGAGUGAGGAAGAGGAAAGUGGAAUUCCGCGUGUAGUGGUGAAAUGCGUAGAGAUGCGGAGGAACACCAGUGGCGAAAGCGGCUUUCUGGACCGACACUGACGCUGAGGCGCGAAAGCUAGGGGAGCAAACGGG